UGAUAUUCAUAACUACAGAAUUUAUCACAAUCUGCGUAACAUAUAUAUAAAAAUAAUAACGACGUCACAGAUUCUAUUUUCGCCUCCUGUGUAGCAAAACUUCGUUAAGAGUGGAUAACACAACAUUAACUGCGCUCUGUUUUGUGAUGUGAACGGUUAAUAAGGGACAAGACACCCUAACAGUUUCAUAUAUGAACUAGUCAUAUUCCUUGGAAAAUUUAAAGAAGCAAAGCCUCGUGAGCAAAAAGAAGAUGAAAAUGAGGAUUAUGACGUUGAUGAGAUAAACCUGGAGAACGAAGACGAACCUGAUGACGAAGAAGAAUACGACGUGA